rnacentral:rRNA from 1 species
UACGGGGGAGCAAGCGUUGUUCGGAUUUACUGGGCGUAAAGGGCGCGUAGGCGGUCAGCACAAGUCAGUUGUGAAAUCUCCGGGCUUAACUCGGAAAGGUCAACUGAUACUGUGCGACUAGAGUGCGGAAGGGGCAACUGGAAUUCUUGGUGUAGCGGUGAAAUGCGUAGAUAUCAAGAGGAACACCUGAGGUGAAGACGGGUUGCUGGGCCGACACUGACGCUGAGUGCGCGAAAGCCAGGGAGCAAACGGG